rnacentral:lncRNA from 1 species
CAAAGGACAAGGUUCACUAAUGGCACAAAAUGGCCUAAAAUAUCAACUUUAUCAUAAAACACCAAAAAGGUCUCAAUUUGGUGCGUAAAUGGGUCUAUUUCAAAAGUAUAAAUGCUAAAUAUAUCAGUUCUUUUCAUAAGAGUACAAGAUAUUCGCCAAAAGUAAGCCCAUUUUGGACAUUUUGUCAAAAUAUGAUGAUUUGGUGCAUUUUUCAGACCUAAAAGCUUUUGAAACAACUUGGCCGCCACCUACGAUCCAGAAUGUGUUGUAACCAAAAGAUUUCAAUUUUGAUAUAGAUUUCAUCAAUAUAAAACUUUUUGGAUCGUAGAUGGAGGCCAAGGUUAAUUAUGCCAAAAACAAUUAAAAUUAUGGACAAAAAGUACCAAAAUUGACCUUUUAAUACAAAUUAUGCUAAUUUAAGGGGUCAUUGCUCCAUAAAUAGUAAAGGAAAGUGCCAGAAAAAAUGUUAUUGUCUUAGUAGUAUUAUCACAGGUAUUUCUAUGUGACAUUUGUAAUUUUUUGGCCCAAUUCAAAAAACAUAAAAAAAUCAGGGACAAUUUAAUUUUAACCCUUCGUGAACCUUUUCCUUUUGUGUCUUCUAUUAUGAUUACACAAAAUCAAAUACAGUUUAUUUAGAAUGAACCCUCAGCCUCAUGUUCUCUUUCAUAAAUGCCAAUUUCUGAAAGAGCAUUUUAGAUUUCAUUCAUAUUUUUUUUAUUAAAAG